GUAGGGAAUAUUGGGCAAUGGAUGCAAGUCUGACCCAGCCAUCCCGCGUGCCGGAAGAAGGCCCUCAGGGUUGUAAACGGCUUUUGACGGUGAAUAAUCGAAAGUAUGCGUACUGUUUUGCCGGUAGUCGUUGAAUAAGCACCGGCUAACUCCGUGCCAGCAGCCGCGGUAAUACGGAGGAUGCGAGCGUUGUCCGGAUUUAUUGGGUUUAAAGGGUGCGUAGGAUGAAAGGUAAGUCAGCGGUGAAAAGCUGUCGCUUAACGAUAGACUUGCCGCAGAUACUGCAUAUCUUGGAUGAGGAAGAGGCCGCCGGAACGGAUGGUGUAGCGGUGAAAUGCAUAGAUAUCAUGAAGAACUCCGAUUGCGAAGGCAGGUGGCUGUACUGUAAUCGACGCUGAUGCACGAAAGCAUGGGGAGCAAACAGGAUUAGAAACCCCGGUAGUCC
rnacentral:rRNA from 1 species